rnacentral:misc_RNA from 1 species
GAUGAAGAACGUAGCGAAAUGCGAUAAGUAAUGUGAAUUGCAGAAUUCAGUGAAUCAUCGAAUCUUUGAACGCACAUUGCGCCCCCUGGUAUUCCGGGGGGCAUGCCUGUCCGAGCGUCAUUACAACCCUCAAGCUCAGCUUGGUGUUGGGCCCCGCCGCCCCGGCGGGCCCUAAAGUCAGCGGCGGUGCCGUCCGGCUCCGAGCGUAGUAAUUCUUCUCGCUCUGGAGGUCCGGUCGUGUGCUCGCCAGCAACCCCCAAUUUUUUUCAGGUUGACCUCGGAUCAGGUAGGGAUACCCGCUGAACUUAAGCAUAUCAAUAAGCGGAGGA